rnacentral:ribozyme from 8 species
CUCCUUCAAAUUUUCCGAGAAAAAAAAAAAAAAAAAAAAAAAAAAAAAAAACUAG